rnacentral:rRNA from 1 species
CAUCCUUGAUCGGGAGGUCCGGGUAAUCUUUUGAAACUUCAUCGUGCUGGGGAUAGUCCCUUGCAAUUUUUGGACUUUAACGAGGAAUUCCUAGUAAGCGUGAGUCAUCAACUCGCGUUGAUUACGUCCCUGCCCUUUGUACACACCGCCCGUCGCUACUACCGAUUGAAUGGCUUAGUGAAUCCUUCGGAUUGGCUUUCUUUUCUGGCAACAGAAUUUGAUCGCUGAAAAGUUGGGCAAACUUGGUCAUUUAGAGGAAGUAAAAGUCGUAACAAGGUUUCCGUAGGUGAACCUGCGGAAGGAUCAUUAAAAAAUGAGACCUCUUUUGAAGGUCUAUUAAUAAUCCUACCCUUUGUGAAUUUGUUGUUUGAAAUAAUUUUUUUUCCAAAAAAAUUAUUGAAUGUCUUUCCCUGUUUGGUGGAGCUUGUAAAAGUGAAACCAUCAGGGGAAUGGCAAACAAUAAUUAUUUUGAAAAAAGACCUUUUUUUAAAAUUAAACUUUUAUGUAUUCAUUUGUCUAAAAUUAUUUUUAUAAUAUAAAAACAACUUUUGACAAUGGAUCUCUUGGUUCUCGCAACGAUGAAGAACGCAGCAAAAUGCGAUAAGUAAUGUGAAUUGCAGAAUACGUGAAUCAUCGAAUCUUCGAACGCAUAUUGCAC